rnacentral:rRNA from 1 species
AUCCAGAGAACUUAGCAGAGAUUGCUUUUGGGUGCCCUUUCGGGGAACUCUGAGACAGGUGCUGCAUGGCUGUCGUCAGCUCGUGUUGUGAAAUGUUGGGUUAAGUCCCGNAACGAGCGCAACCCUUUAUCCUUUGUUGCCAGCGGUUCGGCCGGGAACUCAAAGGAGACUGCCGGUGAUAAACCGGAGGAAGGUGGGGAUGACGUCAAGUCAUCAUGGCCCUUACGGCCAGGGCUACACACGUGCUACAAUGGCGCAUACAAAGAGAAGCGACCUCGCGAGAGCAAGCGGACCUCAUAAAGUGCGUCGUAGUCCGGAUUGGAGUCUGCAACUCGACUCCAUGAAGUCGGAAUCGCUAGUAAUCGUAGAUCAGAAUGCUACGGUGAAUACGUUCCCGGGCCUUGUACACACCGCCCGUCACACCAUGGGAGUGGGUUGCAAAAGAAGUAGGUAGCUUAACCUUCGGGAGGGCGCUUACCACUUUGUGAUUCAUGACUGGGGUGAAGUCGUAACAAGGUAAGCGUAGCGAG